rnacentral:tRNA from 1 species
ACAAUGGUGGUUCAGUGGCAGGAUUCUCACCUUACAUUCUGGAAACCUGGGUUCAAUUCCCAGCCAAUGUG